rnacentral:lncRNA from 1 species
GUUUUUUAGCUCACCUGGCCUAAAAGGCCAUGUGAGCUUUUCUCAUCACUUGGCGUCCGUCGUCGUCGUCUGUCGUCGUUAACAAUUUUUCAAACAUCUUCUCCUCUGAAACUACUGAAUGGAUUUGAAUGAAACUUAGCAUGAUUGUUCCUUAGAUUAUCCUGCACAAAGUGUGUGCUUCGAUUUUUGAUCCGUCAAAAAACAUGGCCGCCGUUACUUAAAAUAGAACAUAGGGG